UGCCAAGCCACCUCUCCAGCCCACACACCUAAUCUCCAGGUACCAGAUUUCUUCCCUCAUGGAUGGACAAGGUCCCUUCUGUUCAGUUCCUCCAACAUUUGAUCAUGCCAUGUCUGUUUGUAUGGGGUUGAACCUUUCUGUUCUUUCUGCUCAGGUACAUUUCAGGUUAGAGGAUCAUGGCUACCUCCAGAUCUUCUUGCUUCCGCUACUGUAAUAGAUAUCACAGUCCUUUGGUUUGCAAGAAUGAAUGGAACUGACUCUGGUAGAGUCUACUGAGGGAGACUGAGGCAUUUUUGGUUCUUGCAGAUCAUGAAGAAGCCUGGAUUCCAGUAGGUAAGAACCUGAUGAGUUGACCUUGUAAAUGAAAAGUACUGUUUACCAUCCCAAGAUACACAGGAAUGGGGCCCCAAAA
rnacentral:sRNA from 1 species